UUAAGCGACUAAGCGUACACGGUGGAUGCCCUGGCAGUCAGAGGCGAUGAAGGACGUGCUAAUCUGCGAAAAGCGUCGGUAAGGUGAUAUGAACCGUUACAGCCGGCGAUGUCCGAAUGGGGAAACCCAGUGUGAUUCGUCACACUAUCGUUAACUGAAUACAUAGGUUAACGAGGCGAACCGGGGGAACUGAAACAUCUAAGUACCCCGAGGAAAAGAAAUCAACCGAGAUUCCCCCAGUAGCGGCGAGCGAACGGGGAGCAGCCCAGAGUCUGAAUCAGCUUGUGUGUUAGUGGAACGGUCUGGAAAGUCCGACGGUACAGGGUGAUAGUCCCGUACACCAAAAUGCACAGGUUGUGAACUCGAAGAGUAGGGCGGGACACGUGGUAUCCUGUCUGAAUAUGGGGGGACCAUCCUCCAAGGCUAAAUACUCCUGACUGACCGAUAGUGAACCAGUACCGUGAGGGAAAGGCGAAAAGAACCCCGGCGAGGGGAGUGAAAAAGAACCUGAAACCGUGUACGUACAAGCAGUGGGAGCACCUUCGGGUGUGACUGCGUACCUUUUGUAUAAUGGGUCAGCGACUUAUAUUCUGUAGCAAGGUUAACCGUAUAGGGGAGCCGCAGGGAAACCGAGUCUUAACUGGGCGUUAAGUUGCAGGGUAUAGACCCGAAACCCGGUGAUCUAGCCAUGGGCAGGUUGAAGGUUGGGUAACACUAACUGGAGGACCGAACCGACUAAUGUUGAAAAAUUAGCGGAUGACUUGUGGCUGGGGGUGAAAGGCCAAUCAAACCGGGAGAUAGCUGGUUCUCCCCGAAAGCUAUUUAGGUAGCGCCUCGUGAAUUCAUCUUCGGGGGUAGAGCACUGUUUCGGCUAGGGGGUCAUCCCGACUUACCAACCCGAUGCAAACUACGAAUACCGAAGAAUGUUAUCACGGGAGACACACGGCGGGUGCUAACGUCCGUCGUGAAGAGGGAAACAACCCAGACCGCCAGCUAAGGUCCCAAAGUCACAGUUAAGUGGGAAACGAUGUGGGAAGGCACAGACAGCCAGGAUGUUGGCUUAGAAGCAGCCAUCAUUUAAAGAAAGCGUAAUAGCUCACUGGUCGAGUCGGCCUGCGCGGAAGAUGUAACGGGGCUAAACUGUGCACCGAAGCUGCGGCAGCGACACUAUGUGUUGUUGGGUAGGGGAGCGUUCUGUAAGCCUGCGAAGGUGGCCUGUGAGGGUUGCUGGAGGUAUCAGAAGUGCGAAUGCUGACAUAAGUAACGAUAAUGCGGGUGAAAAGCCCGCACGCCGGAAGACCAAGGGUUCCUGUCCAACGUUAAUCGGGGCAGGGUGAGUCGACCCCUAAGGCGAGGCCGAAAGGCGUAGUCGAUGGGAAACAGGUUAAUAUUCCUGUACUUGGUGUUACUGCGAAGGGGGGACGGAGAAGGCUAUGUUAGCCGGGCGACGGUUGUCCCGGUUUAAGCAUGUAGGCGGAGGUUCCAGGUAAAUCCGGUACCUUUUAACGCUGAGGUGUGAUGACGAGGCACUACGGUGCUGAAGUAACAAAUGCCCUGCUUCCAGGAAAAGCCUCUAAGCAUCAGGUAACAUUAAAUCGUACCCCAAACCGACACAGGUGGUCAGGUAGAGAAUACCAAGGCGCUUGAGAGAACUCGGGUGAAGGAACUAGGCAAAAUGGUGCCGUAACUUCGGGAGAAGGCACGCUGAUAUGUAGGUGAAGCCCCUGCGGGUGGAGCUGAAAUCAGUCGAAGAUACCAGCUGGCUGCAACUGUUUAUUAAAAACACAGCACUGUGCAAACACGAAAGUGGACGUAUACGGUGUGACGCCUGCCCGGUGCCGGAAGGUUAAUUGAUGGGGUUAUCCGUAAGGAGAAGCUCUUGAUCGAAGCCCCGGUAAACGGCGGCCGUAACUAUAACGGUCCUAAGGUAGCGAAAUUCCUUGUCGGGU
rnacentral:rRNA from 1 species